rnacentral:lncRNA from 1 species
UAAUCCCCGGUUAGAACGAUCCCUACUUACAUCAUUACUACAAUUGUCACAAAUAGGGUUUAAUUUGUGUGCUUAUAUAUUUCGCAUCAUACGGCACUACACUGCACAUAAGUCGGAACCACUAAAAAGGGGUAUGUAUGACAAGACUGUGUGUAAUAUAAUUAUGCUCAAUACUACACUCUCAUGAUAGCUGGGCGAUAAAUCGCUAGUCACCUACGAGUCAGAACCAUCUAUGGUGGUUUGUACAACAGGACUGUGCACCUAAAUUGGAUCCAAUAUGAGCAUAUGGUGCGGGAGGUGACAUUAUAUACAGGCCUAUGUCAUAUCUCUGGUUAAAACACAAUCACCCUAAGGGCAGGUUUAUGAGCUCAAUGUUUCUCAAUCACAUAUCACAUCAUCGAUAAUUCACAUAACCAAACAUAACUCACCUGGUACUUACCUGAGCGUCCUCAGCACCAGAAUUAUAUAUUAUGCAUCAUAUACUAAUUCAUAUGCAGAAUAUAAAUUUAUAUGCAUGGCAUUUCAAAGCAUACUUUCAUUUAAACGCAUUUUCUGGGAAAAUAUCAAGUAUAUAAGUAUAUACUGAAAACCAAAAGCCCACUUACUGGUAUGUCGAAGGGUCGUAGCCCCCGAGUUGCCCUUGACCGCGCUUGUCCUCGGGAUAAGUCUCCCCUAUAUACGAAAUAACUAUAACAACGUCAUUUAAAGCACAUACACAAAACUAGCUAAUAACUUCUCAUACAAUGCUCAAAUGGGGUAUUUGAAUAUACCAACGUGAUCUACACAACUCCACGAACAUCCCCAUAUUUUUAGAAAAAAUUUCCGACCACCCAUGCGCCGGCCAAGGCACGGCCAGAUGCGCCGCCCACACGCGGGCAUGUGCCAGGCACACUGAUGGUAACAAAAUAUUCCGUUAAAAAGUAAUAGAAUCCAUUAGUCUUACCUGACGGCGUCAGAAUAUACCGUCAACUUUGACGGAAUAUUCUAUCUUCUUCUCCAGUUAGCCUCGACGGUCGCCGUCGCCGUUGCCGUUCACCGGAAACUGGAAAAAUCACGAAAACCUUCAUAUCUUGUCCAAAUCUCAACCAAAUUCCACGAAACUUGAACCAAUUUGAAGCUUAGGACAAGUAGAACAAAACCUUACAUUUCAAGGUCCUAAAACCGACAGAACUUGCUAGAAAAUCAUUCGACAUUUCGGCUAAACCUGCAACUCGUCGUAUCUCAACUUUCCGACGUCCAAAUCACUUCAUUUUUCUUCUUCGAGCUUCGUGAAGACAAUCUAAAGCUUCCUAUGCCCUUAAAACUCCUAAAAACCUCACAUUAAUUAGUGCAUGAACAAUGCAUGAAAUCUGGGGUUCGAGUUCUCAUGAUUUUUGAAGGUUUUAAGGUCUAAAAAUGAUAUAAAUCAACUCAGAAACUUGCAGGGAGUUCGAAUCUUACCUUCUUGACGUCGAUCCAUUCUUGAAAUGGAAGCUUGGAGUUUGUCCGUAUGUUUGUACGGGUUUUCUGCAAAAUCCGAGAGGAAGGAGAGAAAGGGAAGGCACGGGAGAGAGGGAGUGGUCUUUUGUGUGUGUGUGUGGUCCUUACACUAACACAUUAUCAAACAACGCUCACCAUAACAAAUUUAGGUCUAAACUUGACCAAAAUAAACUAGGGCAAUAAAAAUAAAUCCAAAAUUUUUGCCCAAGUCCAACAAUUCAAUCCAUCCUUCAGGGGUAAUUCCGUCAAUUCACCUCAUCGAGAAUAUAAUAAAAUAAGUUCGGGGACGGGCUGUGACAUAACUUCCUAUGCCAUUAUACAACAUUAAAUUAAAUUAAGUAACAUGAAACAACAUGAAACAAUAUGAAACAACAUUAAAUAACAUUAACCAACAUAAAAAUUAUACAACAUAAAAAAAAACAUUUAACAACAUGAAACUUAAACAACAUAAAAACAACAUUUUAACAAUAGAAAACUUAAACGCCUACUCCAUGCUUCUUUUGGACCAAAGAUGUGCAACAAGAUCCUGUUGUAGGUACUUGUUUGUGACAUGUGAACGUAUCAUCAUAUAGCGCCUCAUGUACUCAUUUAUAGAAAUACUAUCAAUUAUUGGAUUGAAAGGCAAAUUAGGCACAUCAUAUAUUUUUGCACGAGCCCUUCUUGACCUAUUUGGAUCCUCUUGGUCGUCAUCAGACUCUCUAUCAAUAUUUGAAUUUGAUUUUUUUUGGGCCAAAAUUUGUAAAAAAAAAUAUUAAAAAAUUCUCAUUUUUUCCUACAAAUUUAAGUUGUUGUAGUUUUUAAAUUUAAUUUGUAGUUUUUAAAUUUAAGUUGUAGUUUUUAAACAUAAGUUUGUAGUUUUUAAAUUUAAGUUGUUGUAGUUUUUAAAUUUAAAUAAUAAAUUAUGUUUGGCCUCAUGGUCCUUUGGCCUUCAGGCCCUUGGUUGGAGACGAUUUUUUGUGGCAGGGUGGCCCUCGGUUAGAGAUGAAGGCAAAUAUGACAUUGUACUGUUCAUUAAAAUAUUAAUAUCUUGGAGGGUCAGAGGGCUAAAACAAUCUCUCUGGCCCUCGUUUGGUUGGAGAUGGUCUAAGUAUUGAGAAAUAUACCCUAAGGUGUGACAUAUCAAUCAUUUCAUCUACUUAUAUUAUAAUACAUGGUGCAACACUUUAUAUUUUGGGUACACAUAAAAUUUUGUAGUUGAACAACAUGGACUUCUAUGCUUGUAGUUGGCUUUUAUUUUAUUUCUUUAAUAACGAUAUUUUAUAUUAAUCUACACUAAACAGAAGAUUAUGCCCAAGGUAUUAAAUAUCGAUGAUAUCGGAAAUAUCGGUAGUCCAAAAACACGGAAAUAUCGAUGGAAAUAUUGGGAUAUUAUCGAUAUCGAUACAAAUAAUAUGGAAACCACGGAAAUUGUAAGAAAAACUUGGAAAUUUUUAUUGAAAUUUUGCAGGAUGUUUAUUUAGUCAAUUAUCUAUUAGUUUAUCACAAAAAAUUGGAAGGAAAUGCAUUGCAUGAUAGAUUUAACUGAUUUAAGUUGAUUAUAUAGCGAGUUGGCAAACAUGAUGGAUUUAAAGGAUGUUUAUUUAACUGAUUUGAGGUGACCCAACCACACACAGACACAGACACGCCACCACACACGCACACAUGUUUUGAUUAGAUUACACACGCACACAACACACGCACGCAGACAGAGACUCCUCAGUUUCUCUCUCUCGAUCCUUCUUCUCUCUUCUCUCCCUUCUCCCUAGAUUACACACGCACGCAGACAGAGACUCCUCAGUCUCUCUCUCUCGAUCCUUAUUCUCUCUUCUCUCCCUUCUCCCACACACACGCACAGAGAUCUGUCGAUCUCUCUUCUCCCUUAGCCUCGUCGGCGCCGUCUCUCGAAACUCUUCUUUCUCUCUGCACCGAGUCUGAGACCCACAUACACACACGCACACCAUCGCACUUGCUUCAGGAAGACACCCAUCGUCAUCAACAACCUCGUCUUGCUCCCUCUCUUUCUCGUCUCUGCAACUCGGCCAACGCAAGAACUCCGGCGAGUUUCUUGAAUUUAUCCGGUUAGGGAAGCUUCGGUUUACCUCUUUCUGUUCCACAUUGAAGCUUAUAUGUGAAAUUUAAGUUCAAAAUCGUGUUUUGCAAGGUUUUGGGGAUGAAAUUGGCUCGGGUUCGCACAGAUCCAUCUCCGACGUUCUUCUCCGAUUGGCACAGAUCCAAGAUAUCGCGAUAAUUUCGGAAAUAUCGCGAUAUUAUCGAUAUUAUUGAUAAUAUCGCGAUAUUUUGACGAAAUCUCAUUGGAUAAGCAUUAAAAUAUCGUUAACCCGAAAAACCGAUAUUAUCGGCGAAAUAUCGUCGAUAAUAUCAGCAUUUAAGACCAUGAUUAUGCCAAAUAUAUAUUUUCUACACCAAUAUUGUCAUGUCAGAUUGAAGCUACCAUACUCACUAUCAAUAAUUGAAAAAAUUAAUGCUAUUUAAAUGACUAAGUAGCUACUAUAAGCCUGCGUUUGGUUCUUGAAAAGAAAUUCAUGGUAAUUAAGUAGCUAUUAUGAGGUUGCGAGAGAGUACGCAUGGGAGCAGUUUUUUUUUUUUUGGUUAGGGUUAUGGUCCCGAGUGAUAAAAUUACUUAGUGGUUACUAUGAGGCUGCGUUUCGUACAUGAAAAGAAAUUCAUGGAAAUUAAUUUCUCGUGACUUUUUCUAGGGUAUGGAAAUGCACUUUUUAUGGGAAAUUUAGAUCUGGGUCCAAAAAAUCAACAUAGUUAUUAGGUUAAGUCUAUAGUAUUAUCUUUCUCCACUUUUAUUUCUUUUAUACUCAUAUUACAUUUUUUAAAAGGGUAAAUACAUUUUACCACUCAAUUUUGAGUCACAUAACAAACUAAUAACUCAUCUUUUAAACAUUGUAAUGUCAUAUAUCAACUUUUAAAUUUGUUGCAAUAUUAGACCUUCGUUAAAAAUCUGUUAAGUUAAUCGUUAAGUGAUAGUAUGGUAAGAAGGAAAAAAAACACUAUCUUUCUCUCUCCUGUACUCUCCGAAUCUUUUUACUUUCUCUCUCUAAAACCUCAAUUUUUUUUAACUCUCUCUCCCACUAAAGCUUCAGCCGCCACCAUCAAUGAUUGCCUUUGACACCUCUCCAGCGUGCCUUUCUUUGUACUUGGAGAUGGUAUUUCAGGAUGCGUUUGGUACG